rnacentral:rRNA from 1 species
AUUGAACGCUGGCGGCAUGCUUUACACAUGCAAGUCGAACGGCAGCGCGGGCUUCGGCCUGGCGGCGAGUGGCGAACGGGUGAGUAAUGCAUCGGAACGUGCCCAGUAGUGGGGGAUAGCCCGGCGAAAGCCGGAUUAAUACCGCAUACGACCUGAGGGUGAAAGCGGGGGACCGAAAGGCCUCGCGCUAUUGGAGCGGCCGAUGUCGGAUUAGCUAGUUGGAGGGGUAAAGGCUUACCAAGGCGACGAUCCGUAGCUGGUCUGAGAGGACGACCAGCCACACUGGGACUGAGACACGGCCCAGACUCCUACGGGAGGCAGCAGUGGGGAAUUUUGGACAAUGGGGGCAACCCUGAUCCAGCCAUGCCGCGUGCGGGAAGAAGGCCUUCGGGUUGUAAACCGCUUUUGUUCGGGAAGAAAUCCUCUGGGCUAAUACCCCGGGGGGAUGACGGUACCGGAAGAAUAAGCACCGGCUAACUACGUG